UUCUUCCAGAAAUGUUGGAGUAGCGUUUCAGAUACCUAGAUUGAGCAGCAGAAGGAUCAAAGGUUUGUUCAUUUAGGACUGAGCGCCAAUCAAGAUUGAAGCAUGAGCCAAGUGGAGCUGCUUUGGGCUGCCGUGUCCUUGAUGCUGUUGGGAGCUCUCGUGAGCAUGUGCAUGAAAUGUCAGCAGGGUGGGAGCAAAACGGAAACCGAGGUAUGAACAGCGGAUGAAU